UACGGGGGGGGUAAGCGUUGUUCGGAAUUACUGGGCGUAAAGGGCUCGUAGGCGGCCAACUAAGUCGGACGUGAAAUCCCUCAGCUUAACUGGGGAACUGCGUCCGAUACUGGAUGGCUUGGAUUUGGGAGAGGGAUGCGGAAUUCCAGGUGUAGCGGUGAAAUGCGUAGAUAUCUGGAGGAACACCGGUGGCGAAGGCGGCAUCCUGGACCAAUAUUGACGCUGAGGAGCGAAAGCUAGGGGAGCAAACGGG
rnacentral:rRNA from 1 species